AAUCAACGCUGGCGGCGUGCCUCAGACAUGCAAGUCGAACGAUUAAACUUUCCUUCGGGAAAGAUAUAAAGUGGCGCACGGGUGAGUAACACGUAAGUAAUCUACCUUCGAGUGGGGAAUAACAUCGGGAAACCGAUGCUAAUACCGCAUAAUGCAGCGGCAUCGCAAGAUGACAGUUGUUAAAGGAUUUAUUCGCUUGAAGAGGAGCUUGCGGCAGAUUAGCUUGUUGGUAAGGUAACGGCUUACCAAGGCUACGAUCUGUAACCGGUCUAAGAGGACGGUCGGUCACACUGACACUGAAUAACGGGUCAGACUCCUACGGGAGGCAGCAGUC
rnacentral:rRNA from 1 species